UACGUAGGUGGCAAGCGUUGUCCGGAUUAUUGGUUAAGGUGCGUAGGCGGCCUUGUAAGUCAGUGGUGAAAUACUCCAGCUUAACUGGAGGGGUGCCAAUGAUACUGCAGGGCUUGAGUACAGAUGAGGUAGGCGGAAUUGACGGUGUAGCGGUGAAAAAUGCAUAGAUAUCGUCAAGAACACCGAUGGCGAAAGGCAGCCUCCUGGGGCCAACACUGACGCUCAUGCACGAAAGCGUGGGGGAGCAAAACAGG
rnacentral:rRNA from 1 species